rnacentral:rRNA from 1 species
AGUGAACGCUGGCGGUAGGCCUAACACAUGCAAGUCGAACGGCAGCACAGUAAGAGCUUGCUCUUACGGGUGGCGAGUGGCGGACGGGUGAGGAAUACAUCGGAAUCUACUUUUUCGUGGGGGAUAACGUAGGGAAACUUACGCUAAUACGGCAUACGACCUACGGGUGAAAGAAGGGGACUUUCGGACCUUCCGCGAUUGAAGGAGCCGAUGCCGGAUUAGCAAGUUGGCGGGGUAAGGGCCCACCAAGGCGACGAUCCGUAGCUGGUCUGAGAGGAUGCUCAGCCACACUGGAACUGAGACACGGUCCAGACUCCUACGGGAGGCAGCAGUGGGGAAUAUUAGACAAUGGGCGCAAGCCUGAUCCAGCCAUACCGCGUGGGUGAAGAAGGCCUUCGGGUUGUAAAGCCCUUUUGUUGGGAAAGAAAAGCAGCAGGUUAAUACCCCGCUGUUCUGACGGUACCCAAAGAAUAAGCACCGGCUAACUUCGUG